GGGGUUGUGGCUCAGCGGUAGAGCACUCACCUAGCAUGUGUGAGGCCCUGAGUUCGAUCCUCAGCACCA
rnacentral:tRNA from 1 species